UGUGUCGUCGGAUUUCUCUACGAGAAACGUGAUUAUUUCCUAUAUUCAUUAUAAUUAACGAUACGUAAGCGUAUAAUUAACCAUAAUUAACUAUAUUUUCGUGAUGUCAAAUCUUUGCCUUAUUAUUAUGAUAUCCUGACUCGUUAUCACGAAGUACAAUCCUCAUGCAAAAGGGAAUAUUAGUUCACGAUCGUGAAAUUUGCGGGAGUGCCACGCAAAGCAUCGCGCGUCCGUAUACAUUGUGUCGCGAAUAAUUCGUUAUGUCUUAAUUAGUUUGAGACUGUCAUGCAGAGUGUCGCGUCUUAAUUAGUUUGAUAAUGACGUGCACGAAAUAUCGCGCGUCCGAAUCCGGAAAUGCCGUGCAAAGUGUCGCGCAUCUGUUCUUAUCGUGCCGUAUAAUGAACAGUAAUGAACUGUAACCAUAUUUCCGAAUGAGUGCAACGAACUCUGUAGGUGUAAUGAAUCCUGACAAUCUAAGAGAAGAAAGUCUAGGAAGCUCGAGCGCAACAGCAGGACAAUCUUUAUAACUUGAUGUCACUCUAAAUCCGAGACAGCGUGCAGUAAAAACAAUUCGAUUAAGAAAACAAUCAAUUAUCCGCGAGGCGGACGGGCGGGCUGGCAUGUAAUUAAUAUUACGUUUGCGUUUGGUCAGCGAAUUGUAACGGAAGUACUCGUAAAAAGAGAGGAGGGAUAGGAAGGAUGUUGCCGCUUCGGGGUUUACGUACAAACGACACGGCUGGCCCAGCACGUGUGCAACGUCCGUUAUGGAAUCCAUUACGAGAUAGCAGGAUGCCGCCUGCGGUUUGCAAUGAAGAUACCGAUAUUUAUGGAUCUAACAAGCUCACCACUGAAGUAUAUUCGCCAUUACGUUUGCGAGGAUUAUCGGCCAACGGAAGCCGCCACUCUUUGAAACCAUAAUCCCGCGUUCCUUCGAGUCGAUAAUGGAAUCGCUUUUAAUGCCGCAUGGAUGAUUUUCUCCGAAUCACGUAAUGUUAAAUUACCCCAGUUCGGAGAGAGCGCUCCUAAUAAUUUGAAGUCUAAAGAAGGCUUCAGAUGUGUAGAAGAAUUCUGCUCCGUAUCGAUCGCGUGUUUUAAAUGGCAUGAAUUAAAUAUUCCGAUGUUCUUAUUUUUAUCUAAAAUCUAAAUGAACGAAUACAGACAUCAAAAUUUUAAACACUUUAUAUCUUGCGAAAGAUGCAACCAAUGAUUGAAACACUAUAUUUAUCUGACAAAAAAAAAAAAACAAAAAAAAAAACGAAA